GAUGAACGCUGGCGGCGUGCCUAAUACAUGCAAGUCGAGCGAACGGACGAGAAGCUUGCUUCUCUGAUGUUAGCGGCGGACGGGUGAGUAACACGUGGAUAACCUACCUAUAAGACUGGGAUAACUUCGGGAAACCGGAGCUAAUACUGGAUAAUAUUUUGAACCGCAUGGUUCAAAAGUGAAAGACGGUCUUGCUGUCACUUAUAGCUGGAUCCGCGCUGCAUUAGCUAGUUGGUAAGGUAACGGCUUACCAAGGCAACGAUGCAUAGCCGACCUGAGAGGGUGAUCGGCCACACUGGAACUGAGACACGGUCCAGACUCCUACGGGAGGCAGCAGUAGGGAAUCUUCCGCAAAGGGCGAAAGCCUGACGGAGCAACGCCGCGUGAGUGAUGAAGGUCUUCGGAUCGUAAAGCUCUGUUAUUAGGGAAGAACAGAUGUGUAAGUAACUGUGCACAUCUUGACGGUACCUAAUCAGAAAGCCUCGGCUAACUACGUG
rnacentral:rRNA from 1 species